rnacentral:rRNA from 1 species
UCGACCUGAGAUCAGACGAGAUUACCCGCUGAAU